UUAAGCGACUAAGCGUACACGGUGGAUGCCCUGGCAGUCAGAGGCGAUGAAGGACGUGCUAAUCUGCGAAAAGCGUCGGUAAGGUGAUAUGAACCGUUAUAACCGGCGAUGUCCGAAUGGGGAAACCCAGUGUGAUUCGUCACACUAUCGUUAACUGAAUACAUAGGUUAACGAGGCGAACCGGGGGAACUGAAACAUCUAAGUACCCCGAGGAAAAGAAAUCAACCGAGAUUCCCCAGUAGCGGCGAGCGAACGGGGAGCAGCCCAGAGUCUGAAUCAGCUUGUGUGUUAGUGGAACGGUCUGGAAAGUCCGACGGUACAGGGUGAUAGUCCCGUACACCAAAAUGCACAGGUUGUGAACUCGAAGAGUAGGGCGGGACACGUGGUAUCCUGUCUGAAUAUGGGGGGACCAUCCUCCAAGGCUAAAUACUCCUGACUGACCGAUAGUGAACCAGUACCGUGAGGGAAAGGCGAAAAGAACCCCGGCGAGGGGAGUGAAAAAGAACCUGAAACCGUGUACGUACAAGCAGUGGGAGCACCUUCGGGUGUGACUGCGUACCUUUUGUAUAAUGGGUCAGCGACUUAUAUUCUGUAGCAAGGUUAACCGUAUAGGGGAGCCGCAGGGAAACCGAGUCUUAACUGGGCGUUAAGUUGCAGGGUAUAGACCCGAAACCCGGUGAUCUAGCCAUGGGCAGGUUGAAGGUUGGGUAACACUAACUGGAGGACCGAACCGACUAAUGUUGAAAAAUUAGCGGAUGACUUGUGGCUGGGGGUGAAAGGCCAAUCAAACCGGGAGAUAGCUGGUUCUCCCCGAAAGCUAUUUAGGUAGCGCCUCGUGAAUUCAUCUUCGGGGGUAGAGCACUGUUUCGGCUAGGGGGUCAUCCCGACUUACCAACCCGAUGCAAACUACGAAUACCGAAGAAUGUUAUCACGGGAGACACACGGCGGGUGCUAACGUCCGUCGUGAAGAGGGAAACAACCCAGACCGCCAGCUAAGGUCCCAAAGUCAUGGUUAAGUGGGAAACGAUGUGGGAAGGCACAGACAGCCAGGAUGUUGGCUUAGAAGCAGCCAUCAUUUAAAGAAAGCGUAAUAGCUCACUGGUCGAGUCGGCCUGCGCGGAAGAUGUAACGGGGCUAAACCAUGCACCGAAGCUGCGGCAGCGACACUAUGUGUUGUUGGGUAGGGGAGCGUUCUGUAAGCCUGCGAAGGUGUGCUGUGAGGCAUGCUGGAGGUAUCAGAAGUGCGAAUGCUGACAUAAGUAACGAUAAAGCGGGUGAAAAGCCCGCUCGCCGGAAGACCAAGGGUUCCUGUCCAACGUUAAUCGGGGCAGGGUGAGUCGACCCCUAAGGCGAGGCCGAAAGGCGUAGUCGAUGGGAAACAGGUUAAUAUUCCUGUACUUGGUGUUACUGCGAAGGGGGGACGGAGAAGGCUAUGUUAGCCGGGCGACGGUUGUCCCGGUUUAAGCAUGUAGGCUGGUUAUCCAGGCAAAUCCGGAUAAUCAAGGCUGAGGUGUGAUGACGAGGCACUACGGUGCUGAAGUAACAAAUGCCCUGCUUCCAGGAAAAGCCUCUAAGCAUCAGGUAACAUCAAAUCGUACCCCAAACCGACACAGGUGGUCAGGUAGAGAAUACCAAGGCGCUUGAGAGAACUCGGGUGAAGGAACUAGGCAAAAUGGUGCCGUAACUUCGGGAGAAGGCACGCUGGUGUGUAGGUGAAGUCCCUGCGGAUGGAGCUGAGACCAGUCGAAGAUACCAGCUGGCUGCAACUGUUUAUUAAAAACACAGCACUGUGCAAACACGAAAGUGGACGUAUACGGUGUGACGCCUGCCCGGUGCCGGAAGGUUAAUUGAUGGGGUUAUCCGUAAGGAGAAGCUCUUGAUCGAAGCCCCGGUAAACGGCGGCCGUAACUAUAACGGUCCUAAGGUAGCGAAAUUCCUUGUCGGGUAAGUUCCGACCUGCACGAAUGGCGUAAUGAUGGCCAGGCUGUCUCCACCCGAGACUCAGUGAAAUUGAACUCGCUGUGAAGAUGCAGUGUACCCGCGGCAAGACGGAAAGACCCCGUGAACCUUUACUAUAGCUUGACACUGAACAUUGAGCCUUGAUGUGUAGGAUAGGUGGGAGGCUUUGAAGCGUGGACGCCAGUCUGCGUGGAGCCAACCUUGAAAUACCACCCUUUAAUGUUUGAUGUUCUAACGUUGGCCCCUUACCGGGGUUGCGGACAGUGUCUGGUGGGUAGUUUGACUGGGGCGGUCUCCUCCCAAAGCGUAACGGAGGAGCACGAAGGUUAGCUAAUCCUGGUCGGACAUCAGGAGGUUAGUGCAAUGGCAUAAGCUAGCUUGACUGCGAGCGUGACGGCGCGAGCAGGUGCGAAAGCAGGUCAUAGUGAUCCGGUGGUUCUGAAUGGAAGGGCCAUCGCUCAACGGAUAAAAGGUACUCCGGGGAUAACAGGCUGAUACCGCCCAAGAGUUCAUAUCGACGGCGGUGUUUGGCACCUCGAUGUCGGCUCAUCACAUCCUGGGGCUGAAGUAGGUCCCAAGGGUAUGGCUGUUCGCCAUUUAAAGUGGUACGCGAGCUGGGUUUAGAACGUCGUGAGACAGUUCGGUCCCUAUCUGCCGUGGGCGCUGGAGAAUUGAGGGGGGCUGCUCCUAGUACGAGAGGACCGGAGUGGACGCAUCACUGGUGUUCGGGUUGUCAUGCCAAUGGCACUGCCCGGUAGCUAAAUGCGGAAGAGAUAAGUGCUGAAAGCAUCUAAGCACGAAACUUGCCCCGAGAUGAGUUCUCCCUGAGACUUUAAGUCUCCUGAAGGAACGUUAAAGACGAUGACGUUGAUAGGCCGGGUGUGUAAGCGCAGCGAUGCGUUGAGCUAACCGGUACUAAUGAACCGUGAGGCUUAACCUU
rnacentral:rRNA from 1 species